GACGAACCGUGCGAACGUUAUUCGGAAUCACUGGGCUUAAAGCGCGUGUAGGCGGGCCGGCACGUCGGUCGUUGAAAUCCCCCGGCUCAACCGGGGAAGCGGCGCCGAUACGACCGGCCUCGAGGGACGUAGGGGGGGCUGGAACUUCCGGUGGAGCGGUGAAAUGCGUAGAUAUCUGAAGGAACAUCAGUGGCGAAAGCGACUUCCUGGACCAAUACUGACGCUCAUGUGCGAAAGCGUGGGGAGCAAACAGG
rnacentral:rRNA from 1 species